AACCUAGCACACCUGCGGUGUGUACCUGCGGAGGGAUCAUUACUGAGUGUAAAAACUCCCAAACCCAUUGUGAACAUACCACUGUUGCUUCGGCGGAUACGCCCCGGGCGCGCUCUUCACAGGGCGUGCCCCGGAACCAGGCGCCCGCCGGGGGACCGAAACUCUUGUUUUCUUAGGAUCUCUGAGUGUGAUUAUUAAAUAAAUCAAAACUUUUAGCAAUGGAUCUCAGAUCGGAAGAGC
rnacentral:misc_RNA from 1 species